rnacentral:rRNA from 1 species
CCUACGGGCGGCAGCAGUGGGGAAUCUUCCGCAAUGGGCGAAAGCCUGACGGAGCAACGCCGCGUGAGUGAAGAAGGUCUUCGGAUCGUAAAGCUCUCUUGCCGGGGACGAAUGUAGGCAAUGCAAACAGCAUUGUGUAAUGACGGUACCCGGCGAGGAAGCCACGGCUAACUACGUGCCAGCAGCCGCGGUAAUACGUAGGUGGCAAGCGUUGUCCGGAAUUAUUGGGCGUAAAGCGCGAGCAGGCGGUUCCUUAAGUCUGAUGUGAAAUCUCGCGGCUCAACCGCGAGCAGCCAUUGGAAACUGGGGAACUUGAGUGCAGGAGAGGGGAGCGGAAUUCCACGUGUAGCGGUGAAAUGCGUAGAGAUGUGGAGGAACACCAGUGGCGAAGGCGGCUCUCUGGCCUGUAACUGACGCUGAGGCGCGAAAGCGUGGGGAGCGAACAGGAUUAGAUACCCUGGUAGUC